AGAUAAUACAUAGUUGAGGGAGGUGGCUGUAAUUACCCAAACAUAAAGGGGGUUUUCGUAAUUUACCCAUAAUUAUAUAUACAUAUAUAUGUCUAAAAUGUUAUAUCUACGAUGUGGCGAGAAAAGAAACGAAGAAUGUGGGGUUGGGUGAUCGAGGGUGAUAGUAUAGGAAUCUGAUGUCGAUAAAGGAUGAUCGGGUAAGUAUUGGUUGUUCUUAUUAUCCUUAAAUCGGACAAAAUUAUAUAAAGCUAUACUUAAUACUGACGGAAGAGUGCGCUUCCUUUUUGUUUGUUUGUUUCUUGU
rnacentral:lncRNA from 1 species